GCAAUUGGGCUUGGAGUGCAUUUGGCUGCUGGCGCUCAUGAAAUCCUUCUGCAAGCUGAAUAUAUUCUUACAAGUGUUCCACCAUCAGUACCAUGGCCUGUGCAAAGUGGAGGAAACACUAGCGUGAGAUUUAAUCAACCUAGAGAUGCCCGACAGGGGAUCCAACAGGUGAUAAUCCCUUUUUUGAGAUAUUCUUUCAUUUUACUUUUUGGCUGAUUAGUCGAAGGUUUUGAAUUUAGUCCCAAAUUGCAUCUAGUUUAAUCAACCUAAAGAUGCCCGACAAGGGAUCCAACAGGUGAUAAUUCCUUUUUUGAGAUAUUCUUUCAUUUUACUUUUUGGCUGGUUAGUCGAAGGUUUUGAAUUUUCGUCCCAAGUUGCAUCUAUUCAAACUAUUUUGGAAGGCCGAAUGCAUAGGCAGACACCCAAAGUUGGCAUAAACGGUCAGAUAGAUGCCUUAACUAUCCUUGUGUCUGGAUAAACAUUUCUUGUCGUCGCAAGUAUGCCUCGUGCAUAACCGGGUCCAGCAGAUCUCACUUGUGAGUUACAAUCUUGGCAGGCUUAUGAAAGUAUAACUGAAGUACUGAUCCCUCAUAAAUCUUGG
rnacentral:lncRNA from 1 species